ACACACACCAUCAGUUUAUUUUAUUCUUAUCACCUCUGUAAAACCACUCUUCAAUUCUUUCAACUAGUUUCUACCUAAAAAGAUUUGCAAUUUUUUUUUUGUUUUGUUCUGUGAUGCUUUGGUGAAGAUUUUGAAAUUCAUGUUUUUUCUUGUUUUUAUCUUUUUUUUUUCUACUAAAAUUUGAUGCAGCAGCUUCUGCUACAACUGGUAGCAUACUUUUUGAGUUUUUGAUGAAAUAAAGUAACAGAAGAAAGAAAAAUUAGCAUGAAGUUUGAUGCAGCAGCAGCUUCUGAUUAUCUCUCAUACCAUUUAUGUCGUUAUGAGGACACACUGGGAGAUCGUGAUGUGCUUGAAGAUAGGUAGUUCUCAUGGGUCUUCAAGUGCUGUGGAGAAAUUUGUUGCAGAAGAUGGCAGAGCCGGAUCUUCUCAUCGAGUAGUUUGCACUGAAAAGGUGUGUGACUCAACAUCAGCAAAGCGAUUGCAUCCGGUGGAAUUUUAAGAGUUUGUGUUCAAAGUCAAACCUUUAGUUUGAAAUCUUCCAAUUCAUUUUCCAAUGAAUUGAUAUGGUUCUUUAGUCGACAUAAACCUUCCUCUGCAGCUGAGGGGUGGUUUGAAUUGUUUGUUGGCUCACUUAAACCAGCAGCCUGCACUCAUGUUCAUACACAAAAAAUUAGUCUUUGUAUGCAAACAAUGAAAAAUAUUAGCACUAGAGUGCUGGAACCGACCUUCAAAAUAGAGGUACACAAGCUCAACAACUUCUGGGCUAACUGUAUCCUUUCGCUUUCACUUUCCUGGUUUAGUAUCCACAAACAUUGCUGAGAAAAUAUGCUAAAUUUUGCAUGUGUGUUAACUACACAAUGCUAGUAGUUUACAGACCUCUAGUUCCUUCCUCAGUUGCUCUUCUUCAUCAAAGUCAAUGUAAGGACCCUUUCCACUAGAUGAUCGGUAGCGAGCAAGCUCUUCCUUCACUCGUGAAAGAAUUUGCUCAGAUCUCUUCAAUCUAAGGGUCAUAUCUUCAUUUUCUAUCUUUAACAUGGUGUUCUCUUCCUGUUUAUUAUGACAAAUGCUGGAAUAUGACAUUGAAUCUUCCAUGAUGAAAUCCAUGUUCGAUAUUGGGUCAUACCUUAAUUUUAGCAUGGUGAUGGAUGCGGUGCUGGAAAUUUUGAUGAUUUGAAAACUUCUUGACUUCAUCCUCAAGUUCCAUGAUCAUCUUCUUGUAUUUUGUAUUUUCAACCUACAAAAAUUAUAAUGUUUUAUGGCUACAAAUAGAACAGAAACUAAAGAUAGAAAUCCAUAAAUAAAAUAGGUGAUUGUACCUUUAGCAUUUCAUUUUCAGUGUUAAGGAACUGUUCCCGCUGUCGAAGCUUUUCCGCCAUCAUUCGUGCAUUUGCCAUUUCACUGUGUUUUUGUUUAAUCUCAUGCAACCAACUACCAACAAGAAGAAAGGGGUUAAAAUGUUUUACAAAGGCGCACACACACACCACUAUAUCCUCUAAGGGAAAGGUAAUUGCUGUUCAUCGUAUCACAAUUCACACGUACCUUUGCCUUUCUUCAAUAAACUCAUUGAGCUCCUUCUUGAGCUUGCUGAUGUCGUCUUCCUAGAUAAAAGUGAAACAAAAGAUUGUCAGGGAGAAGAGAUUUUAUUGCAGAUUAUUAGUGUCAGAAGAAAAAAAAACCUUUAGCCCAGAUCGAGUGCUUUGAGUUUGAGAUGUUUCUUUCAUCUUAGGUGUUUCAGGUUCAUCUAACAAGGACUGCCACGAGAGAAAAGAAUAGUCAGAGACUGCCAAUAGACAACUUAUUUGAACAACUGCACUUUAUAUCUGUAGUCCAGUUCACAUGAUAUGUUGUUGCAUAUUUAUUACACAUGAACAGAUAUCAUAAAUAAUAAAAAUACCAAUCGAAGAUCUCUCAUUUUAUAUUUAAAAAAGAAGAUUAGUAAUGAUUCAUGUAAGCAAAUUUUAAAGUUUGUCUUAAAAGUAAAAAUGUUUGCAUCUGACCGUCAUGUCUAACUUGACACCUAUGAGAUCCCUGAUAACAUCAUGUGUCAUACUCUCUGCUUGUGCUAGUCUUGUAUUCAGCAUGAAGAUCUGAAAGAAAUGAACAGUUUUGUUGUUUUCUUUUCCUUUUUCACCUAAAACACAUUCAUGAACGAUAAUAUAAGCACAAUGGAAAUAUACCUCCUUUUGUCGGCUUGCAGCUAAUGAUUCAAGUUCCUCAAUCUUGUGCCUUGCAGCAGUUAAGUCCUCAUCUUUCUCAGAGUUUAUUUGUUGUACUAAUCCCAAGCCAAUGCAUUUAAAUGGGGAACUUGAUCCUCUAGGCUUUGCUGAACUUUUCUCUGAUUUCAUUGUGGAUGAACUUGCAGCAUUGGAGGAUGUUGGGUCUCCAUUGACUUGUUGGGCCAUAGCCUCCAAUUCCCUAAACUGUUUCUAACUGCAGUCUGCAUUUCCUCCAUCAUGGAUUGUUUUUCAAAGGAGUUUUCUGACAUAUAUCCACAAGAAGACUCGCACUCAGUAUUGCUCAGUAAUUUGUCAGAGCCAACAUUUAAUAGGCCUCUAACAAUUU